AAGCUUGCCUGCAAGCGUGCGUACGUGCCUGUGUGCGUGCCUGCAAGGUUUUCUGCGAGCUUACGUGGAUACUACGGACCUGAGAAAGGUUAAAGUCUCCAACCUACUGCUGAGCCCUCGGAGAUUCCUGUGCCACCCAUUGUACUGCCUCCUGGGGGAACUGGCUGUGGCGUCUUCUCCAGAGAGUGUAUGAGAAGGAAGAAAGGACAUGGAGCAAGAGAUGUCACAAGCACAAGCGUGGGAGCAGCCAUGGCAGAGACAGCCAAGCCACUGUAGGGAGAAGGGACAUGGGAUGUGACUUGCUCUGAGUGACCACGCCUGGCAGGGAAGACAAGAUACUUGAGCUUCCGGGAUGAGGAUGAGGCGUGAAGAGCUGCCUCCCUGGUUUUGUAAAAUCGCCAGGUCCCAGAAACAAAGAUGAAGCCGUGGAAAUACCUGAAAACCAGGAAAAUCCAAGGAAGGCAGGCUGGAAUUACUGUUUAACUAAGGUGGGGCUGCGGUACCUGCUGUACCCAUAUAAGGAAGCACCUGAGAAGGGAGAGGUAAGCAGAACCUGCCUGACUCCUGACUCCGCCAGUUCUCUUGCAUUUCCUCCAAGGCGACAGCCCUCUCCUCCAUCGUCCCCUCUGCCACUCUCCAACCCUCAAGCCCGCCGCCGCUGCUCAUCCUGUGUGACUGAUUCGUCCCAGUGGGCUUCCUGCAGGAAUACUGCCCACAGUGCUACUCUAUUGGAUGCACCUGCAGAGGACACAG